UAGUGAAAAUAAUAAAAAUAGUAACAUUUUAUUAUAUGUCUACUCUAUGACUGAUGCUAUCCAAACAUUACCUGUAGUCUCACAAGAACACUAUUAAGCAGAAAUUAAUAUUAGCUCCAUUCGACAGAGGAAGAAACUGAGAAAUAGCUUGCCCAAGAUUAGCUAUAACUUGAAAGAGCAAGAAUUCAAAUUUAGGUUGUUCUGACUGCAAAUUAUUUUCAUACCAUUUCUAAGUAAUGCUCACUACUUCAGCAUAUUUUAUCUUAAUUUUUAAAUAUAUUAUUUAAUUAUGGCUGUUAAUUGAAGGCUUAUUUCACAGAGAAUAGGAUAAGGAUUUACAGCGAAAAUAUAGAGGCUAUUUUGGAGGGAAAAAAAUUACCUUGAGUUUCAUGUCCUUGAUAUUGCUGGCCAAAAUUAGCCACAUACCUCAGACUAUAGUGGAGGCAGACAGUUCAAUUAACCAAAUAUGGGGAAAAAUAGCAUUGAUUAAGUAGAAAUCUUAAGAAGUGGUUAAUUACAUUUCCUGGAUAACUGAAGACAUUUUGUGUUUCAGCCCAUCUUAAUGAAAAUCUAAAUAUAUCAGGCCCUUUGCAGAGAACAGAUCACAGCGCCUUUCUCUGUGUCCUUGAAGUUUAUUUAAUCAAGUUUUUCAGAACACAUAUAUUGACUUCUUCAGCGUCUCCACUAUAAUUGUGAUAUUUAGUAAUGAUUCCUGAUUCCACAGGAGAGAUUGUUUCCUAAAUGUUUAUAAUCAUUUUAUGGUAUGACAUCACAACACUUGAAAACCUGUAUCUCACUCAUGCAUCUCUAACAAUUGGAAAUUCAUAUAAUUUCAAUUUCAUUCUUCUGAACCUCACCCAUGUCUUGUUCUGAACUUGUCUCUGUCUUAUCCUAAACUUCAUUUAAGUCAUUUUGGGGUAACAGACAUAGAGUUGUAAAUGAUUUCCUGGAGGGGAGACUGAGCACAGCUAAUCCCCAGGGAGAUGCCCAAAACUUCUAAACCCUUGUAGUUAAUUUACACAUUAGAUUCUUGGCAUUCAUAUAUUUUCUCUUUCUACUGUUGUAGUUGUGGUUAUUUUUAAUUUUUCUCAGCUUAUAUUUAGAGUAUAUUAGUUCCUGUGGUUUCAAGCCAAAUGUAUAAUCUCAACAAUCAAUAAGUGUAGAUAUGGUGACAUUAAUAUCAGUGCCCAAAUCCCAGUUAUUCUGAGCCUACUCUGCUGUGUUCCCUCUGCCCUGCCUUCAGCAGGAUAGUGAUGUUUCCUAUGGGCUUAGGAGAAAGUUCACUUAUUUUCUACUUUAGGUACUCUUCAAGGCUUCUUCUCACAGCCCCUGCUUCAUUGGGCAUAGCUAUGCUUACCUGCUGAUUACCCAAGCCCACAGAGUCAUUGAGCUACACUUUAGUAAGCAGUAGACUAUUGAGGGGGAAAGGACUUAUCCAUAAUUCAGACUUUAUCAGAUGGACUUCAGAGGAGAGUCGCUUGAGCCCGGUGUCUCUCAGGUUUUGCCUGAGCACCAUUUCUGCAUUUUCUAUUUUGCUUAGGAGUUCAAAUCUGAUUCAUUCACAGGGCGGAAAGAACAUACGCCAUCUCAUCCAUUGUCUUCCUCUUCCCCCAGAUGCUUCGAAGGAAAAUAAAGAAAACCAACAAAGACAAUAAGCUGCUCCUUCUUCAUUUAGCCCAUCUCACUGUUGACUUCUCCAGAGAAGACGCUGUAACAGAGUUUGAAGAACAAGAUCUUUCUUGGAAAUCAACACCUGUGAAAGCAAGAGGGUAUAAGCAGAAUUGUGCAGAGGAAGAAGGAAGAACAUGGAGCUGCUCUCCCUGAAGUGAAAGAUGGGACCCGGAGCCCUUAACCCCAGAGGUUCCUUUGCAUCUGUCCUCUGACUGCAUGGAACACGGUGUUUUAAGUCAUUGGAUUGGAUGACUUCCAGGGUCACUUUUACUCAUACAUUUUAUGAUUCCAGGGUCCAAGAAUGACGGUAUUAUAUGUAAGAACUCUGAAGACUCAAAGAGAAGAACAACUAGAAUUCUUCUUUCUUUCCUAUUGUUCAUAAACAUGGUAUUAAAAUGACCACUAAAGAGCAGAAACAUCUCACAGGCUGUUUCCUAGUUCUGAUAUUAUACAAAGACAGAACACCCCACCCUCACUUCCCUUUUAAUAUCUCAAGUCUCUUCCUUCCUUCAUCUGUUAGAGAACAUUUCUCCAUUUUUCCAUGUUCAAUAUUUAUCCCAUUUUAUUUAAUUAUCAGUUAUCUACACUGCGAUUAUUGCCAGCAAGUUGAGGGGAACGUGUAGAGAAGCAAGUUGUGAAUAUCAGUAGUAUGCUUGGUCCAGGUGGGGGAAACUGCUUUAGAAAUGACUGGCCACUUGUGAGAAACUUGGCAGUGUUUCUUUCUCAUUUUGUCAAAAGGUAUAAAGUCAAGUGUUGUUUCACUUUAAUUUUUGGUAACUUUAACACAGUUUUGUUUUGAAAGUUGAGUUCAAGGAAAGGCCUCAAAAAUACCAAUUAAGUGCCUCUGUUAAAAGCCACUGGCAGGAAAAAGAAGUCUCUAUGGUGUUUUAGGGAAAAAAAAGUGAAAAAGAGAAUCACAAAAUUUCUAGGAGAAAAAACUCUGGGCACCAUUAACCUUCCCCACACAAAAUGGAAUUAUACGAAGACAGGUUUCUUCCAGACGUUCACCAAAACUCAGAGCAUAUGCAUACAGAAAGAAGCUUAGCCAAAGCAGUACUCUAUAAGGGGGCUGAUUACCUGAUUCUGUCCACUCUGGGACCCUACAUAUUGGUUAUAAUAAUUAAGUAGGAUUUGCUCCAGUGAGACAUCAGCCUACGAAAGCAUUUCCCAAUGUGUGCUUUAUAGAACAGUUAUCUUACAAGAUAUGCUAUAAAAAAGACCCCAUGAUCAAACAAAUAUGGGAAAUACACCAUAUUCUCUACUCCUGUGGGAGAUUUCCUAUGCAUAUUAUCAUGUCAGGUAGUUUAAUUAUAUUAACCCAGGAUUUCUCAAAAGAAUUUCCCAUAGUACCCUCUUUGUUCUGGUUCCUUGACACCUGUUGCUAAGGGCAGGUGGUAUAUCAUGGCCGGUAAGAGCAAAGCCAUAGAAAAUGAAGAACCUGAUUUCAAAUCCUGGUUCUUCUACUUAACAAGUGAAAUCUCUUUUGGCUUCACUUCCCUUGUCUAUAAAAGAGAGACAAUAAUCAUGAUCUUGUGGAAUUUUUGUAUUUACAGGCAGUAACACAUCUAAAGAACACAGCUCUGUACCAGCCAUGUGCAAAGGGAUCAGAAAUAGUAGCUAAAAGAAUAUGUAGUGAUUCUCGAGGUUAAAUUGAUAAUAAUAAUAAAAACCCAAAAACAACAAAAACACCUGGAAGCCUAGAGAGUUGUAAAUAUUAAUAUAUGGAUAAUUUUGUUCUUCCUUCCAUUGGUCCUAGAAAAAUGUUAGAAUGAGAAUAGAGACCUGGAAAAAGCUUUGCUGUAGAGAGACAGAUUUUUAAGUACUUCUUAAAGUUAGUUUUUAUUAUUGCCCCUUCAGUGGAGCCCUUUCUGCACCUGUGUCCUUUCCACCAAGGUCCAUCUGACAGGAUAUUUCCUGUUUCCUUUCUGCCAUUUUUUUUUUUUUUUUUUGAGAUGGAGUCUCAAUCUGUCACCCAGGCUGGAGUGCAGUGAUAUGAUCUUGGCUCAUUGCAACUUCUGCCUCCCAGGUUCAAGUGAUUCUCCUGCCUCAGCUUCCCAAGUAGCUGGGCCUACAGGUGUCCAUCACCACACCCAGCUAAUUUUUGUAUUUUUAGUAGAGUCGGGGUUUUGCCAUGUUGGCCAGACAGGGUUUAAACUCUUGACCUCCAGUGAUUCACCUGCCUUGACCUCCCAAAGUGCUGGGAUUAGAGGUGUGAGCCACCAUGACCGGCCCUCUGCCGUUUACUUUUACACCUACCACAACACAGGAGUUGCUUUCUAUAACCUCUGUGUCCUUCUUGUCCCACUGUCUCUUUCUCAGUGAUGAACUCUUAAUGUCCUCACACAUAACCACUGCUCUGUGUAGCUGAAGAGGCCCCAGAGGAGCCUGAGGAGAGACUCACAUUUUGGCCAUACGUUGAACCUAGGGUGAAAUUUGAAGUGAGAGUUUUCAGCAGCCAUGUUUUCACAGAACAGCUGACCCUAGCAGGGGGUAGUAGGUUUGAAUUUUGCUGUUAGUUUCUUUAUUGCUAGAUUAGGGGGAAAAAAAAUAAAACAAAACGAAGAAACGAAACAUUCAAAUGCAUUUGGCAGGUGGUCUUAUAACUCCAGCAUGGGUGCUCAGAAUUUCAAUGUUAAACUUGGUUAAUUAUGAUUCAGAAUUCAAGGAAAGGAAUAUGGUGGAGUACAGAGAUAGAGUCCAUGAGCUUUGGUGCUAAAAACUGGGAUCAGGCCGGG
rnacentral:lncRNA from 10 species